CAGUGUAUGAUUGACUUUCAAAACGUGAGCUACAAACACACGGUCAGUUGCUCAGGUACUCAUAACAGUGGAAACAUAAAAGUAACAUUAAGCCGUCAUUAUUAUGAAUGGAAAUCGUAAAUAGUCAAAAAAAGAAAUUACCAAAAAAAGGGAAGAAAAAAGUAGAAGAGAAUAAGAAAGAAAUUGAAAGAGAGGAAGGGGAAAUUGUAGUAAAAACAAAGAAGAAGUAAACCGAAAAAAAAAAAGAAUAAAAGGAAAUCAUUAGUUGCUUAGUUAAAGUUAAUCAUUUGCAUUGCCAAGGAUACAUGAAAGAGACGGAGAAUCAUUAGCUGCUCGAU